rnacentral:rRNA from 1 species
UACGAAAGGUGCGAGCGUUAAUCGGAAUUACUGGGCGUAAAGCGCGCGUAGGCGGUUUGUUAAGUCAGAUGUGAAAGCCCCGGGCUCAACCUGGGAAUUGCAUUUGAAACUGGCAGGCUAGAGUGCAGUAGAGGGAGGUGGAAUUUCCGGGUGUAGCGUGAAAUGCGUAGAGAUCGGAAGGAACA